AGUGAACGCUGGCGGUAGGCCUAACACAUGCAAGUCGAACGGCAGCACAGUAAGAGCUUGCUCUUACGGGUGGCGAGUGGCGGACGGGUGAGGAAUACAUCGGAAUCUACUUUUUCGUGGGGGAUAACGUAGGGAAACUUACGCUAAUACCGCAUACGACCUACGGGUGAAAGCAGGGGAUCUUCGGACCUUGCGCGAUUGAAUGAGCCGAUGUCGGAUUAGCUAGUUGGCGGGGUAAAGGCCCACCCAGGCGACGAUCCGUAGCUGGUCUGAGAGGAUGAUCAGCCGCACUGGAGCGGAGACACGGUCCAGACUCCUACGGGAGGCAGCAGUGGGGAAUAUUGGACAAUGGGCGCAAGCCUGAUCCAGCCAGACCGCGUGGGUGAAGAAGGCCUUCGGGUUGUAAAGCCCUUUUGUUGGGAAAGAAAAGCAGCAGGUUAAGACCCCGCUGUUCUGACGGUACCCAAAGAAUAAGCACCGGCUAACUUCGUG
rnacentral:rRNA from 1 species